GACGAACGCUGGCGGCGUGCCUAAUACAUGCAAGUCGAGCGAAUCUCAGGGAGCUUGCUCCCUGAGAUUAGCGGCGGACGGGCGAGUAACACGUGGGUAACCUGCCUGUAAGACUGGGAUAACUUCGGGAAACCGGAGCUAAUACCGGAUACGUCCUUUUCUCGCAUGAGAAGAGAUGGAAAGAUGGUUCUGCUAUCACUUACAGAUGGACCCGCGGCGCAUUAGCUAGUUGGUGAGGUAACGGCUCACCAAGGCGACGAUGCGUAGCCGACCUGAGAGGGUGAUCGGCCACACUGGGACUGAGACACGGCCCAGACACCUACGGGAGGCAGCAGUAGGGAAUCUUCCGCAAUGGACGAAAGUCUGACGGAGCAACACCGCGUGAGCGAAGAAGGCCUUCGGGUCGUAAAGCUCUGUUGUUAGGGAAGAACAAGUACGAGAGUAACUGCUCGUACCUUGACGGUACCUAACCUGAAAGCCACGGCUAACUACGUGCCAGCAGCCGCAGUAACAC
rnacentral:rRNA from 1 species